rnacentral:rRNA from 1 species
UACGUAGGGUCCGAGCGUUGUCCGGAAUUAUUGGGCGUAAAGAGCUCGUAGGCGGUCUGUCGCGUCGGUUGUGAAAACACGGGGCUCAACCUCCGUGCCUGCAAUCGAUACGGGCAGACUAGAGUUCGGUAGGGGAGACUGGAAUUCCUGGUGUAGCGGUGAAAUGCGCAGAUAUCAGGAGGAACACCGGUGGCGAAGGCGGGUCUCUGGGCCGGUAUUGACGCUGAGGCGCGAAAGCCCAGGGGAGCAAACGGG